GACGAACGCUGGCGGCGUGCUUAACACAUGCAAGUCGAACGGUAAGGCCCUUCGGGGUACACGAGUGGCGAACGGGUGAGUAACACGUGGGUGAUCCGCCCUGCACUUCGGGAUAAGCCUGGGAAACUGGGUCUAAUACCGGAUAGGACCACUGCCUGCAUGGGUGGUGGUGGAAAGCUUUUGCGGUGUGGGAUGGGCCCGCGGCCUAUCAGCUUGUUGGUGGGGUGAUGGCCUACCAAGGCGACGACGGGUAGCCGGCCUGAGAGGGUGACCGGCCAAACUGGGACUGAGAUACGGCCCAGACUCCUACGGGAGGCAGCAGUGGGGAAUAUUGCACAAUGGGCGCAAGCCUGAUGCAGCGACGCCGCGUGAGGGGUGACGGCCUUCGGGUUGUAAACCUCUUUCAGCACCGACGAAGCGCAAGUGACGGUAGGUGCAGAAGAAGGACCGGCCAACUACGUGCCAGCAGCCGCCGUAA
rnacentral:rRNA from 1 species